AUGUGCACGCUCUGCUCAUCCACUCUACCCCUGUGCACUUACUGUAGGUUGGCGUGGGCUCCUUAACGGGAGCAUUCUGCCGGCCUAUGUAUACUACAAACACUUUAAAGUAUCAGAAUGUAAACGCGUCUAACGCAUCUAUAAUACAACUUUUAGCAACGGAUCUCUUGGCUCUCGCAUCGAUGAAGAACGCAACGAAAUGCGAUAAGUAAUGUGAAUUGCAGAAUUCAGUGAAUCAUCGAAUCUUUGAACGCACCUUGCGCUCCUUGGUAUUCCGAGGAGCAUGCCUGUUUGAGUGUCAUGGAAUUCUCAACUUAUAAAUCCUUGUGAUCUAUAAGCUUGGACUUGGAGGCUUGCUGGCCCUUGUUG
rnacentral:misc_RNA from 1 species